UAGAUUAGUAAAAAUUUGAAGAGUUAGAUUUUAAAAUAGCAAAUCAAAACAGUUUUCAAUGACACCAUCAAAGAAACAAAGGGCAAGAGUAAUUUUAAAGCAAUCAUGAUCCUAAAACUCUUAGCCAAAAAACAAAAUUACUCAGGCUUUUAAACUCUCAUUUAUAUUUACACAAUGUUUCUUUCUUGCUGUGUUGGUCCAGCCUGUUCUUUUAAGCAUUAUUAUUAUUUAUCAUUUCUUGAGCACUCAGCACUGCAUGAGAUACAGAUAAGUUCCCUCCCUAGGAGACAACAAUCAAAGCCACACAAGCAAAACAUAAAGAUAAGCUGUUUAAGAAAUGAAAACCAAAUGAAAGAUUAAGAAGCACAUUGUGAAUUCCCUUUUUUUGUUUGUUUCAGCUUUAAGCCCAUGAUACAAAACAUGCUUCUUUUGGGGGUGUAAAACAAGACUGUAGUUGUUAAGAUAAAGCCACUGGCUUAGAAUAGAAAAUAUCCCAGAGAUCAUUGUAAGAAAACAUCCUACCUUAGAAAUCUUUUCACUUUCUGCUAUACAUAAAUUACUAGAAACUAUUCCUAGCUCUAGAGGACUGUAAUCACUAUGUAUGUGUGCACGUGUGUGUGUGAGAAAGAGGAAUAGAAGGAGAGAGAUUUAGGUCUGCCCAGCAGCCUUUUUUGUUCCCUUUCUUUUGAUAAUACCACACUGCUUCAGAGACUGCUUCUCCCAGUCCACAUAUUCCUGAUGGAACUGUCAAUCAUAGUCCAUUUCUUCCCUACCUUAUAAUGACAGAUGCAGGCCUGAAGCAGCACAAGGUGAUUUUUACAGGGCUCAUAAUGAAGGUCUUCUACAGGGUUCAUUAGGCCAAUUUGCAAAGAAAAGUAGUAAUAAAUGGAUAUAGCAUAAAUGCUGGCAGUUCUAAGCUCCAGAAUCAGGCCCUUGAAACUCCAGUUCCUACAGGUCUUUAUAUGAGCUGCUCUGCAAUACUUUUAAGCAACUAAACUUAAGUUCUUGCCUAGGGUGGUUUCAGUUGGGUUUCUUUUGUCAUUUGCACCUGACAAAAUCUUGGGAAGGUAAACAACAUACCCAAGGUUGAGCGGCUCCUAAAUGGCAGUCAUUCAAACCUAACUCUGUCCAUCUCUACACAACAGACUUUUCCUACUGUGCUAAUUUACUUUUUAAACCUACAGAUGUUUCAUUCCUAAAAUCUAGUUUUCUUCAAGAUUGGGAAUGGAAGGAAAAGAGGCUGCAGUGAAGUGGGGCAGUGUGGAAGGGGUCCGUCUAGUCCUCUGUCACUUUCUGGCAGUAGGAGAAAAGUGAAAGCCACAAAUACAGUAAAAUCUAAUAAAAAAUUAUAUUAAUCCACUUUGCAUAUGAGAAAGAUCCUAAGCUGGCAACUAUACAAACUUCUGCCUAAGAGCAAAUCAAAGCUGUAUAGUUCUAGGAAAGAAUGGUAUAGGUAUAGGGUGAUUUCUGCAUUUCAAUCAUAGUCCAUUUCUUCCCUACCUUAUAAUGACAGAUGCAGGCCUGAAGCAGCACAAGGUGA
rnacentral:lncRNA from 1 species